GAUGAACGCUAGCGGCAGGCUUAAUACAUGCAAGUCGUGGGGCAGCAGGUUUGUAGCAAUACAGAUGCUGGCGACCGGCAAACGGGUGCGGAACACGUACAGAACCUUCCUUUGAGCGGGGAAUAGCCCAGAGAAAUUUGGAUUAAUACCCCAUAGUAUAAUGAAGUGGCAUCACUUUAUUAUUAAAGAUUUAUCACUCGAAGAUGGCUGUGCGGCUGAUUAGGUAGUUGGCGGGGUAAAGGCCACCAAGCCUGCGAUCAGUAACUGGUGUGAGAGCACGACCAGUCACACGGGCACUGAGACACGGGCCCGACUCCUACGGGAGGCAGCAGUAAGGAAUAUUGGUCAAUGGAGGCAACUCUGAACCAGCCAUGCCGCGUGGAGGAUGAAGGUCCUCUGGAUUGUAAACUUCUUUUAUAUGGGACGAAAAAAGGCUUUCUAAGUCGUCUGACGGUACCAUAUGAAUAAGCACCGGCUAACUCCGUGCCAGCAG
rnacentral:rRNA from 1 species